rfam:Ananas comosus cultivar MD2 ACMD2_Scaffold_676, whole genome shotgun sequence.
AUACCUUUCUCGGCCUUUUGGCUAAGAUCAAGUGUAGUAUCUGUUCUUAUCAGUUUAAUAUCUGAUACGUGGGCCAUGUGCCCACCUCGAUAUUAAAUUAAUUUUUAUGUGGGGGAGGGCUCAUCACAUCAGCUUGCUGAUGGGGUCCUCGCGCGUCGCCCUUGCGUUGCACUACUGCAUCGGCCUGGCGCACCCCUA